UAGUGGAUUACCAAUGAACACAUGAAAGACAUUAAACUGUAUUGAAUUUUAAUUUAAUAAAGUUCCAUUCUAGAGAUAUACAGGGUGAUGCAUACUAAGGCUCUUUAAAGAUAACAUACACUGAUAUAAAGAGGUUACAUGGUUGGUAGUUUUCUACAAUUGUUCUGCAGAAUAUAUAGAUCAGGAUAUGUUGAAAGUGUAUUGAUAAAUACACAUUUCAUUUAAAAAGGAAUUUCAAAUUAUAAUAUGGAUAUGGCAUUUAAAAAUAUAAAGCACAGAAGUAGAUUUCCAACGUAUUUUCUUCCAUUUAACUCAAUUCUUUCACCUUCUGCUCUAGGCUUGCCUGGUUAGCUCCACUAAACUCGUGUACCUGCAAAAAAAAAAAAUAAAAAAAUAAAAAAAUGAUAGC